rnacentral:rRNA from 1 species
UACAGAGGUCCCAAGCGUUGUUCGGAUUCACUGGGCGUAAAGGGUGCGUAGGCGGUCGGGUAAGUCUGGCGUGAAAUCUCCAAGCCUAACUUGGAAACUGCGUUGGAUACUAUCCGGCUCGAGGAAUGGAGGGGAGACUGGAAUACUUGGUGUAGCAGUGAAAUGCGUAGAUAUCAAGUGGAACACCAGUGGCGAAGGCGGUUCUCUGGGCAUUACCUGACGCUGAGGAGCGAAAGUGUGGGGAGCGAACAGG